AGCGUCUAGAGACAGGAAUGGAUCCAAUUAGUUAUGUGGGUGGUUUUAUAUCUGUAAUACGCAUGCGCAUUACUCCCUCAUGGACAAAAAUCACAAAAUGGCUGCCACCAACUGAGUGUUUUUCAUAUUUCUAGUGCUGUCUUUGUGGUUCCAGGCCUUUUUGCUAGUUGUUUGCAUGAGUUGGAUCACUGAUUAGACUAAUAUAACCUUGCACUAGGCAUUUUAUACCUUUCCAGCAAAUUGGAUCACAAGAGGUUGCUCAUGAGUUUUUGCUUACAUGUGUAGUAGGAGACUAGGAGCUCAAAAUGUCACGAAAAGCUAUCAGUAUUGUUCAUGGUGGUGGACGAAACUCUGGAUGCUAUAUUUGGAGAUGUUGAUAACAUUUCCCCAAGACUAGAUAUAUUAUCAACUCUUUAUUUCCCUUGGCACUACUUAAUGUGACACCAGUAUAUUUCCAGGUCA
rnacentral:lncRNA from 1 species